rnacentral:rRNA from 1 species
AGAGUUUGAUCUUGGCUCAGAAUGAACGCUGGCGGUAGGCUUAAUACAUGCAAGUCGGAUGGAAACGAUAGAAAAAUUUGUUUUUCUAGGCGUCGAGUGGCGGACGGGUGAGUAACGCGUGGGAAUCUACCCUAUAGUUGGGGAUAACAUAUGGAAAUGUAUGCUAAUACCGAAUAUGCUCUAUGGAGUAAAGGUGCCUUCUUUUUGGAAGGUAUCGCUAUAGGAUGAGCCCGCGUGAGAUUAGCUAGUUGGUGAGGUAAUGGCUCACCAAGGCGACGAUCUCUAGUUGGUUUGAGAGGAUGAUCAGCCACAUUGGGAUUGAGACAUGGCCCAGACUCCUAUGGGAGGCAGUAGUUGGGAAUAUUGCAUAAUGAGCGAAAGCUUGAUGCAGCCAUACCGCGUGUGUGAAGAAGGCCCGAGGGUUGUAAAGCACUUUUAAUUGUGAGGAAGGUUCAGUAGUUAAUAUUUGCUGUUCUUGAUGUUAACUUUAGAAGAAGCACCGGUUAAUUCUGUGUUAGCAGUUGUGGUAAUACAGAGGGUGCAAGCGUUAUUCGGAAUUACUGGGCGUAAAGCGCGCGUAGGCGGAUUAUUAAGUCAGUUGUGAAAGUCUUGGGUUUAACCUGGGAAUUGCAUCUGAUACUGGUAGUCUAGAGUUUAAGAGAGGGAAGGGGAAUUCCGGUGUAGCAGUGAAAUGCGUAGAUAUCUGGAGGAAUAUUAGUGGUGAAGGUGACUUCCUGGCUUAAAAUUGACGCUGAGGUGCGAAAGCGUGGGUAGUGAAUGGGAUUAGAUAUCCCGGUAGUCCACGCCGUAAAUGAUGUCAACUAGUUGUUGGUUUUAUUAAAAAGAUUAGUAAUGAAGUUAAUGUGAUAAGUUGACCGCCUGGGGAGUACGGUCGUAAGAUUAAAACUCAAAGGAAUUGACGGGGGCCCGCACAAGUGGUGGAGCAUGUGGUUUAAUUUGAUGCAAUGUGAAGAACCUUACCAUCCCUUGAUAUACCAAGAAGUUACUAGAGAUAGUUUCGUGCCUUCGGGAGCUUGGAUAUAGGUGCUGUAUGGCUGUCGUCAGCUCGUGUUGUGAGAUGUUGGGUUAAGUCUCGCAACGAGCGUAACCCUUAUUAUUAGUUGUUAUCAUUUAGUUGAGAACUCUAAUGAGACUGCCGGUGAUAAACCGGAGGAAGGCGGGGACGACGUCAAGUCAUCAUGGCCCUUAUGGGAUGGGCUACACACGUGCUACAAUGGGGGGUAUAAAGAGUAGUUAAUUGGUAAUAGUGUGUGAAUCUCAAAAAACCCUUCGUAGUCCGGAUUGGAGUCUGUAAUUUGACUCCAUGAAGUCGGAAUCGUUAGUAAUCGCGAAUUAGAAUGUUGCGGUGAAUACGUUCCCGGGCCUUGUAUAUAUUGCCCGUCAUACUAUGGGAGUGGAUUGUAAAAGAAGUAGGUAGG